rnacentral:rRNA from 1 species
GCUACGGGAGGCAGCAGUGAGGAAUAUUGGUCAAUGGACGAGAGUCAGAACCAGCCAAGUAGCGUGAAGGAUGACUGCCCUAUGGGUUGUAAACUUCUUUUAUAAAGGAAUAAAACGAGGCACGUGUGCCUUUUUGCAUGUACUUUAUGAAUAAGGAUCGGCUAACUCCGUGCCAGCAGCCGCGGUAAUACGGAGGAUCCGAGCGUUAUCCGGAUUUAUUGGGUUUAAAGGGAGCGUAGAUGGGUUGUUAAGUAAGUUGUGAAAGUUUGCGGCUCAACCGGAAAAUUGCAAUUGAUACUGGCAGUCUUGAGUACAGUUGAGGUAGGCGGAAUUCGUGGUGUAGCGGUGAAAUGCUUAGAUAUCACGAAGAACCCCGAUUGCGAAGGCAGCUUACUAAACUGUGACUGACAUUGAUGCUCGAAAGUGUGGGUAUCAAACAGGAUUAGAUACCCUUGUAGUC